rnacentral:rRNA from 1 species
UACGUAGGGCGCAAGCGUUGUCCGGAAUUAUUGGGCGUAAAGAGCUUGUAGGCGGUCUGUCGCGUCUGCUGUGAAAAUCCGGGGCUCAACCCCGGACUUGCAGUGGGUACGGGCAGACUAGAGUGUGGUAGGGGAGACUGGAAUUCCUGGUGUAGCGGUGAAAUGCGCAGAUAUCAGGAGGAACACCAAUAGCGAAGGCAGCUCGCUGGGACGUUACUGACACUGAGGCGCGAAAGCGUGGGGAGCGAACAGG